rnacentral:rRNA from 1 species
GAUGAACGCUGGCGGCGUGCUUAACACAUGCAAGUCGAACGGUGAAGCCCAGCUUGCUGGGUGGAUCAGUGGCGAACGGGUGAGUAACACGUGGGCAACCUGCCCUGGACUCUGGGAUAAGCGCUGGAAACGGCGUCUAAUACUGGAUAUGAGACGUGGCCGCAUGGUCAACGUUUGGAAAGAUUUUUCGGUCUGGGAUGGGCUCGCGGCCUAUCAGCUUGUUGGUGAGGUAAUGGCUCACUAAGGCGUCGACGGGUAGCCGGCCUGAGAGGGUGACCGGCCACACUGGGACUGAGACACGGCCCAGACUCCUACGGGAGGCAGCAGUGGGGAAUAUUGCACAAUGGGCGGAAGCCUGAUGCAGCAACGCCGCGUGAGGGAUGACGGCCUUCGGGUUGUAAACCUCUUUUAGCAAGGAAGAAGCUUUUGUGACGGUACUUGCAGAAAAAGCGCCGGCUAACUACGUGCCAGCCGCCGCAGUAA